AUCAUCACAUGGGCAUUCCGCUUAUGCACAGCUGACAGGCACAGCACUCAUAACGAAGGUGAAUACAGGCAUCACAUGGGCAUUCUGCUUAUGCACAGCUGACAGGCACAGCACUCAUAACGAAGGUGAAUACAGGCAUCACAUGGGCAUUCUGCUUAUGCACAGCUGACAGGCACAGCACUCAUAACGAAGGUGAAUACAGGCAUCACAUGGGCAUUCUGCUUAUGCACAGCUGACAGGCACAGCACUCAUAACGAAGGUGAAUACAGGCAUCACAUGGGCAUUCCGCUUAUGCGCAGCUGACAGGCACAGCACUCAUAACGAAGGUGAAUACAGGCAUCACAUGGGCAUUCUGCUUAUGCGCAGCUGACAGGCACAGCACUCAUAACGAAGGUGAAUACAGGCAUCACAUGGGCAUUCUGCUUAUGCGCAGCUGACAGGCACAGCACUCAUAACGAAGGUGAAUACAGGCAUCACAUGGGCAUUCCGCUUAUGCACAGCUGACAGGCACAGCACUCAUACCGAAGGUGAAUACAGGCAUCACAUGGGCAUUCCGCUUAUGCACAGCUGACAGGCACAGCACUCAUACCGAAGGUGAAUACAGGCAUCACAUGGACAUUCCGCUUAUGCGCAGCUGACAGGCACAGC